rfam:Dichomitus squalens LYAD-421 SS1 unplaced genomic scaffold DICSQscaffold_3, whole genome shotgun sequence.
GGCAAGAUGGCCGAGCGGUCCAAGGCGUGUGACUCAAGCGAAAGCUUGCCUGCUUCAGUGGGUUUCUCAUCUGGGUAUCCAGGCGCGGGUUCAAAUCCCGCUCUUGUCA